UUAGACGGUAGGGUAUUGGCCUACCGUGGCUAUGACGGGUAACGGGGAAUUAGGGUUCGAUUCCGGAGAGGGAGCCUGAGAAACGGCUACCACAUCUAAGGAAGGCAGCAGGCGCGCAAAUUACCCAAUCCUAAUACAGGGAGGUAGUGACAAGAAAUAACAAUACAGAGCCUUACGGUUUUGUAAUUGGAAUGAGUUAAGUAUAAACCCCUUAACAAGUAUCAAUUGGAGGGCAAGUCUGGUGCCAGCAGCCGCGGUAAUUCCAGCUCCAAUAGCGUAUAUUAAAGUUGUUGCAGUUAAAAAGCUCGUAGUUAAUUUUCUGUUAAUUUUUAUAUACAAUGCUACGGUAUUUAUAUAAUAUUAACAUAAUUCAUAUUACUUUUUAGUAUAUGAAACUUUACUUUGAGAAAAUUAGAGUGCUUAAAGCAGGCUAUUGCCUUGAAUACUCCAGCAUGGAAUAAUAUUAAGGAUUUUUAUUCUUCUUAUUGGUUCUAGAAUAAAAAUAAUGAUUAAUAGGGACA
rnacentral:rRNA from 1 species